rnacentral:misc_RNA from 1 species
UUUCCGUAGGUGAACCUGCGGAAGGAUCAUCACUGGUCAUUAUAGUAUAAUUUUUGUGAACAGUAUGAGGGGAGCAUAGUUGGCGAGGGCAGCCGCGGUAGCGGGUGCAUGGCCGCGAUAGCGGCUGCGUGACCGCGAUAGCGGCUGCGUGCGUGGGUGUGUCACGAGGCGUGAAUGUGUCGCGAGGCGUGCCUCGUGAGACAGCGCCCCGUGCUCGCCCCUCGCGCUCGCCAACGGCUCCGCAUUUCAUAAAAUCCUUGGCUUACACAACACACACUAAACAAACACAAAAAAUCACAACUUUCAACAAUGGAUCUCUUGGCUCUC